UACGGGGGGGGCAAGCGUUGUUCGGAAUUACUGGGCGUAAAGGGCUCGUAGGCGGCCAACUAAGUCAUACGUGAAAUCCCUCGGCUUAACCGGGGAACUGCGUCUGAUACUGGAUGGCUUGAGAUUGGGAGAGGGAUGCGGAAUUCCAGGUGUAGCGGUGAAAUGCGUAGAUAUCUGGAGGAACACCGGUGGCGAAGGCGGCAUCCUGGACCAACACUGACGCUGAGGAGCUAAAGCCAGGGGAGCAAACGGG
rnacentral:rRNA from 1 species